UACGGGGGGGGCAAGCGUUGUUCGGAAUUACUGGGCGUAAAGGGCUCGUAGGCGGCCAACUAAGUCAGACGUGAAAUCCCUCGGCUUAACCGGGGAACUGCGUCUGAUACUGGAUGGCUUGAGGUUGGGAGAGGGAUGGCGGAAUUCCAGGUGUAGCGGAUGAAAUGCGUAGAUAUCUGGAGGAACACCGGUGGCGAAGGCGGCGAUCCUGGACCAAUUCUGACGCUGAGGAGCGAAAGCCAGGGAGCAA
rnacentral:rRNA from 1 species